UGCGGAAACGAGUUAUCUGAACCUUCGGGGAACGAUAACGGCGUCGAGCGGCGGACGGGUGAGUAAUGCCUGGGAAAUUGCCCUGAUGUGGGGGAUAACUAUUGGAAACGAUAGCUAAUACCGCAUAACGUCUACGGACCAAAGAGGGGGACCUUCGGGCCUCUCGCUUCAGGAUAUGCCCAGGUGGGAUUAGCUAGUUGGUGAGGUAAUGGCUCACCAAGGCGACGAUCCCUAGCUGGUCUGAGAGGAUGAUCAGCCACACUGGAACUGAGACACGGUCCAGACUCCUACGGGAGGCAGCAGUGGGGAAUAUUGCACAAUGGGCGCAAGCCUGAUGCAGCCAUGCCGCGUGUAUGAAGAAGGCCUUCGGGUUGUAAAGUACUUUCAGUCGUGAGGAAGGCGAUAUAGUUAAUAGCUAUAU
rnacentral:rRNA from 1 species